rnacentral:rRNA from 1 species
AGGGGGCGAGCGUUGUUCGGAAUUACUGGGCGUAAAGGGUGUGUAGGCGGCGGAGUAAGAUAGCGGUGAAAUACCCGGGCUCAACCUGGGAACUGCCGUUGUUACUAUUCUGCUAGAGUGAUAGAGAGGAUAUUGGAAUACCCAGUGUAGAGGUGAAAUUCGUAGAUAUUGGGUAGAACACCAGUGGCGAAGGCGAGUAUCUGGCUAUUAACUGACGCUGAGGCACGAAAGCAUGGGGAUCAA